rnacentral:misc_RNA from 1 species
CAGAAAACAAAACAUGUGCUUCUCUGGAAAUCAAAGAAAUGACAGCUGAAUCAGUAUCAGGUAGAGAUCUUCCUGAUGUACCAUCUUCUAGGAACAUACAAAAGGAGUGGACCUGUCCCAUAUGUCAGGUAACAACCACAAGUGAGAUAGUCUUUAUUUCCCAUCUUCAAGGAAGGAGACAUGAAGCUGCUUCUGAGAAGCUCAAAGCCAACCAGAUGCUGCAAAACAAGAAUUCCCCUGCUUCAGUGGAAAGAAGUGCACCUAAAGAAAUGGCAGCCACAGUGGUAGCAGGUAGAGACCUUCCCAUCAAACUACCUUCUGAAAACAUUGAGGAGUGGAACUGUCCUAUAUGUCAGGUAAAAACCUCCAGUCAGACAGUCUUUAUAUCCCAUCUUCAAGGAAUGCGACAUGAGGCUGCUUCCAAGAAGUUGAAAUCCAAGAACCAGAUUUUGGAAAGCAACACUUCCCCUGCUUCUGUGGAGACAACUGCAUCUAAAGAAAUGCCAACUGCAGGAGUUGCAGUGGGAGAUUUUCCUAACAAAUCACCUUCUAAGAGCAUCCAGAAGUGGAACUGUCCUAUCUGCCAGAUAACAACCCCUAGUGAGACAAUCUUUAUUUCCCAUCUUCAAGGAAGUCAACAUGAAGAUGCUUCUGAGAAGUUGAAGUCCAAAAACCAACAAUUGGAAAGUGACAAUUGCAUUUCUUCUAUAGAAAUGAAUGCACCUAAAGAAAUGGCAACCACAACAGUAUCAGAUGGAGAUCUUAUUGACAAACCAACUUCUGUGAACUCCAAGGAGUGGACUUGUCCUAUAUGUCAGGUAAUAAGCAUCAGCGAAGCACUCUUUAUUUCCCAUCUUCAAGGAAGGCGACAUAAGGGUGCUUUGAAGAAGCUGAAGGUCCAGAACAUGAUGUUGCAAAGUGAGAAUUCCCCUGCUUCAGUGGAAAAUGUUUCACCUAAAAAAAUGGCAGCUACAAAAGUAGCAGGUGGAGAUCUUCCCAACAAUAUGCCUUCUGAGAAGGCCCAGAAGCAGUGGACUUGUCCUAUAUGUCAAGUAACAACCACAAGUGAGAAAAUAUUUGUUUCCCAUCUUCAAGGAGGGCGACAUGAGGCUGCUUCUGAGAAGCUGAAAGCCAAGAACCAGAUGUUGGAAAGCAAGAAUUCCCCUACUUCAAUGGAAACGGGUGCACCUAAAGAAAUGGCAACUACGACAAUAGCUGGUAGCACCUUUCCUGACAAACUGCCUUCCCAGAAUAUCCUAAAGGAGUGGACUUGUGCUAUAUGUCAGGUCACAACCACAAACGAGACAGACCAUAGUUUACAUCUCCAAGGAAGGCAACAUGAGGAUGCUUGUGAGAGGCUGAAAGCAAAAAACCAGACAUCAACAAGCAAGGUUUGCCCUUCUUCAGUGGAAACACAUGUACCUACAGAAAGAAGAGAAAUGGCAAAUGCAACAGUAGCUGGUCGAGAUAUUUCUGACAAAUCAUGUUUGAAGAAAGCCCAAAAUGAGUGGACUUGUGCUAUAUGUCUGGUAACAACUACAAGUGAGGCAGACCUUAUUUCACAUCUUCAAGGACAGCGACAUGCAGAUGCUUAUGAGAAGCUGACAGCUAAGGAUGAGACAUCAAAAAGCAAGAUUUCUCCUGCUUCACUGGAAACAUGUUCACCUCUGGAGAAAAAAGAAAUGACAACUGCUAAAAUAGAAGAUGGAGAUAUUUCUAACAAGCCACAUUCAAAGCUUGUUCAAAAGCCAUGGACUUGUUCUAUAUGUCAGGUAAUAGCCACAAGUGAGGCAGAGCUUACUUCACAUAUUCAAGGACAUAGACACAAUGAAUGUGAUGAGAAGCUGAAAACCAUGAAACAGUUGUCGAAUAGCUUGGUAUUCCCUGCUUCAAUGGAAACAUGUGCACCUCUGGAGAAAAAAGAAGUGGGAGCUACAAAAGGAGCAGAUGGAGGUAUUCCUGAAAAACCACAACCAAAGAACUCUCAAAAGGUAUGGAUUUGUGCUUUAUGUCACGUAACAGCUACCAGUGAGACAGAUCUUAUUUCACAUUGUCAAGGAAAGAGACAUAGAGUUGCUUGUGAGAAGCUCAUAGACCAGAAGCAGAAGUCCACAAGCAAUAUUUCACCUGCUUCACCAAAAAGUACGAGCUCCAAAGCAAAAAAGCAAGGUAAGCAAGAGAACCUGAAGAACAGAGUUGUUGAGGUAAGAAAUUCUCUUUGGUGGUGUACCAUCUGUAAUACAAGUUGCAACAGUGAGGGAAACAUGGACACUCACCUUAGUGGGAACAAGCACUUGUCUAGAAUUCAAGAACUUAAUAGUGCUGGAGGUAGUGGGCAGG